GACGAACGCUGGCGGCGUGCUUAACACAUGCAAGUCGAACGGAAAGGCCCUGCUUUUGUGGGGUGCUCGAGUGGCGAACGGGUGAGUAACACGUGAGUAACCUGCCCUUGACUUUGGGAUAACUUCAGGAAACUGGGGCUAAUACCUGAUAGGAGCUCCUGCUGCAUGGUGGGGGUUGGAAAGUUUCGGCGGUUGGGGAUGGACUCGCGGCUUAUCAGCUUGUUGGUGGGGUAGUGGCUUACCAAGGCUUUGACGGGUAGCCGGCCUGAGAGGGUGACCGGCCACAUUGGGACUGAGAUACGGCCCAGACUCCUACGGGAGGCAGCAGUGGGGAAUAUUGCACAAUGGGCGGAAGCCUGAGGCAGCAACGCCGCGUGCGGGAUGACGGCCUUCGGGUUGUAAACCGCUUUCGCCUGUGACGAAGCGUGAGUGACGGUAAUGGGUAAAGAAGCACCGGCUAACUACGUG
rnacentral:rRNA from 1 species